GGAGAUGUGGCCGAGUGGUCGAAGGCACACCCCUGCUAAGGGUGCAGGCCCGGAAGGGUCUCGAGGGUUCGAAUCCCUUCGUCUCCG
rnacentral:tRNA from 2 species